CUACGGGGGGCUGCAGUAAGGAAUAUUGCGCAAUGGAGGCAACUCUGACGCAGCCAUGCCGCGUGCAGGAAGAAGGCCUUAUGGGUCGUAAACUGCUUUUAUUUAGGAAUAAACCCCCGAACGUGUUCGGGGCUGAAGGUACUAAACGAAUAAGCACCGGCUAACUCCGUGCCAGCAGCCGCGGUAAUACGGAGGGUGCAAGCGUUAUCCGGAUUUAUUGGGUUUAAAGGGUGCGCAGGCGGGCUGUUAAGUCAGUGGUGAAAUCCCGGGGCUCAACUCCGGAACUGCCAUUGAUACUGAUAGUCUUGAGUUUGGUUGAAGUGGGCGGAAUGUAGCAUGUAGCGGUGAAAUGCAUAGAUAUGCUACAGAACACCAAUCGCGAAGGCAGCUCACUAAGCCAAAACUGACGCUCAUGCACGAAAGCGUGGGGAUCAAACAGGAUUAGAUACCCCUGUAGUC
rnacentral:rRNA from 1 species